UCAGUAGUCAAAAGCAGUCUGCCCAAGUAAUUGUGGUGCUUCUGCUGCUUCAGUCCUCCCGUCCCAGGACGGCCAUGCUGACGUUCCCCCUUGACAGAUGCAGCCUCCUCAUCGUGCUAAAGCCUUCCGGCUGAGAACCGGCUGUGGUACGGCCGCCGGGCGCUGAGAGGGGGCGAGCCCCGCGCCCGCCCUGCCUCCGCGCCGGGAUUGAUCUGGUCGCGCUGGCGUCAGGCAGUCGGAGUCGCCCAGCCUCCACUUACCGCUGCCAGCUCGCACGGACACACACACACAUAGACACACACACA
rnacentral:lncRNA from 1 species